UACGAAGGGUGCAAGCGUUACUCGGAAUUACUGGGCGUAAAGCGUGCGUAGGUGGUGAGUUAAGUCUGUCGUGAAAGCCCCGGGCUCAACCUGGGAAUGGCGAUGGAUACUGGCUCGCUAGAGUACUGCAGGGGGAGACUGGAAUUCCUGGUGUAGCGGUGGAAUGCGCAGAUAUCAGGAGGAACACCGGUGGCGAAGGCGGGUCUCUGGGGCAGUAACUGACGCUGAGGAGCGAAAGCGUGGGGAGCGAACAGG
rnacentral:rRNA from 1 species